AGAGGAUUGGAUAUGUGACUACAGUACUGAAUGAGCUAUGGAGAGAGAAUGAAGAGUAAAGAGGAUUGUUUAUGGAAAUAGGUUUCUGAAUGUCUGGACAAUGGUCAAAGGGAGAAAUUGAGAGACUGACUUAGCAAAGGAGGAAGAAAAUGAUGUUUCAUAAUAGUGGAGUUGGAGCAAAUGCUGAGAAGAAAGGGCUACUGCAAGUAGUGUGUUCGAUUCAUGAGCUUUAGAAUUAUAUCGAACCGGUGAACACUGCUAAAAAAUGUGGACCAUAAAAGCCAGAUACUUUUCUUCAGCUCCUAAGUAAAGCUAUGGAAUUUGUGACAAGUGCCACAGUGGGAAAGUAGAACAAGAAUACCUGCCAACAACUUUCUGAGUACAAGGUGAAAUGGACCAACAGAAUAAAAUGAAGAUUCCAGAAAGCACCAAUACCAAUAUGGAAACUUUAUGCAUGGUGUAUUAGAUAAAAUUGAUUUGCCUUGGGAAGUUAUCAACCACUCAAUACUUGGUUGUGGAAUGAUAGGUCAUCCAUAUAAAACAAGAGAGAGCAAGAGAGAGUGUCACACCUGAUUGGGGAAGAAUCGAAGAGAGAAGGAGAGAAAGAAAAUCAAGUGGGCUCCACGCUCAGCACAGAGCUGGACAUGGACCUUGAUCCCAAA